CACAGCGUUCGGAAUAAGCUCGUCUUCUUCGAAAAAUCACUGGUUUUUUAUAGUGUCGCGAGCCACCUCGCGAUUCGUCCAAGGGACAUUAAACGCUAUCUGCCGUUAUU